rnacentral:misc_RNA from 1 species
AAAAAUCUGAUUUUGUGGCAGUAAAAACUGGUUAGUAACAACAAAUUGGACAACGUAUUAGCCCAUUCUCAUUACAAUAUUGGCAACGUUGAAAGCCAUAUUCACCAUCUUCUUCUGCUUCUGCUUCUGCUUCUGCUUCUGCUUCUUCUUCUUCUUCUUCUUCAUCGCGUUCAUAGUAAAUCUUACAGCUCCCAGAACAUGUCUCGCAUGGCACAAAUCUGAUAUCCCCACAAGCCUCACAAGUUCCAUUACCAAUUCCACCACUGUCCUGCACCAUUUCACAAUCUUCAACCACUUUCUCUAGCUCUCCUUCUUCGUGCAUUCGCCUUAUCUCCUCAGCUCCGCCGAUGUACUUUAUUCCCACGAACACCUUUGGUAGUCCUCCUCCGCUAAACCCU